UAAAUACUGUAUAACACACAUAACAACAACACACAACAAUUAACAGAUAAAAUAUAAGUAUUUAACGAUGUUAAUCGGAAAACCGUUGAAAACUCGGAAGUUACUCAUUGACAUACUAAAUAUAACUCGUUUGGAGUAUAAAUGUAUACGUUCGAGUAUUUCUAGCCAGUCUUUCACAAAAGGUCGCGAGAUAAAGACGCGCAACACGAUAAUCGAGUUUAAAUAACUAGUCUACGAGUGAAUUUAUCCUAUUGUGCAGUGCUCUUGGAACUUAUAUUCAAGAUGAAGCUAACAGCUGGGAUAGUAUUCGUUUGUUUUUUCCUUCUAACCGACGCAGCGAGAGUACCAGACUAUUCCGAAAGCAGUAAUAGUGAUGUUGUGCUUGACGAUGUAAAAAACGUUUAUAGCAAUUCAGAGCAAAAUGUCAGACGACGAAAACGACAUUAUUCACCAUACUCGAGAAAUUUUUGGGAACGUGAAAUGGAACGAAGCGACUACGAAUCCUACCAAGAAUAUAGAAUUACAGUAUUAGAGACAAGACUAAAAAUGCAACAAGAGCUAAUAAAUCAACUUCUGUUUAGAAGACAAGAACCCCAAGUUAUCGUCGUGCCCGUUUACUUACCCUCAAGUGGAAACAAAAACACUAGCGAUCCCUUGGAUAAUAAAUUUGGCCAAAAUGAUGAUGAUAUUGAAAA